rnacentral:rRNA from 1 species
UACGUAGGGUGCAAGCGUUAAUCGGAAUUACUGGGCGUAAAGCGUGCGCAGGCGGUGAUGUAAGACAGGGGUGAAAUCCCCGGGCUUAACCUGGGAAUGGCAUUGGAAACUGGCUCGCUGGAAUGUGGCAGAGGGGGGUGGAAUUCCGCGUGUAGCAGUGAAAUGCGUAGAGAUGCGGAGGAACACCGAUGGCGAAGGCAGCCCCCUGGGCUAACACUGACGCUCAGGCACGAAAGCGUGGGGAGCAAACAGG